UGGCUCUGUGAAGUUGGCUCAAGCAGGUCUGCACAUUGAGCCAGCCUGUCAGGGCAUUG
rnacentral:pre_miRNA from 1 species